CUGGGACACCUUCAAGAACGCAUGCUGGGAGUGUAUCACGCCAAUGACAUCCGGAUGUGAUCGGCAGAACGGAAGAAUAAAGUACUCAAUGUCAAGGACCCAAAAAAAUAUAAUUCCCGUACAGCGAGGGCCCCACGUAAAGCGCCGUUCGAACUGCCAAAGCUUCAUGUAGCGCUUCUCGAAAUCUUUGGUUGGUGCUACAGUUGGAGUCGAUUAUAGGGCCUUAUCGAUAAGUAGUUUUGGUGGAGCCAAAGGUUCGAUCCGGGAUUACUCUUAAAUCCAAAGCGGGAAUACGGCGGGGAUCAUGAAAUGCAAAUGCAAAUAAUCGGCGAACCAACAUAUAGGGCCCCGGAUAAAGUUGCACUGAAGUCGAAUAAUCUGAAGCCAAUAAUCUGCGGCAUCACCAGCAGAAUACCAUCCACAUCCCCAGAGCCCCAAGGCACUUUAAACCAAAGAUGCUCCAGCGGGACUCGUUCCUGAGAAUUUCGGAACCCUGACCCUGGUGAGUACGCAGCGGACAGUGCAGGGGUCUAGCGGACUAGACACAAGGCUGUCGUGCAAUGAACAUCUUGCGGAAACGAGCAGGAAGGCGGCGAUCCAUGUUUGAAAUACCUACCUUUGAAAUACACUCCUUACAUGGCUACUUUCCGUACUGACCCUAAGAUAAGCAAGCGCAGAAAUACUAAGGAAAAGAAAGGCUAAACGAACUUUAUCCCAUUUCGUUUUGAUCUUCGUUUCUCUAAAUCGCAACCAUGGGUGGAAGCAAUCCUAAUGGUCGUGCUACCUUUCAGAAU
rnacentral:sRNA from 1 species